CCUACGGGCGGCAGCAGUGAGGAAUAUUGGUCAAUGGCCGGAAGGCUGAACCAGCCAUGCCGCGUGAAGGUCAGUGCCCUAUGGGCGUUAAACUUCUUUUGUGCGGGAGCAAUAAUGGUCACGUGUGGCCAGACGAGAGUACCGUACGAAUAAGCAUCGGCUAACUCCGUGCCAGCAGCCGCGGUAAUACGGGGGAUGCAAGCGUUAUCCGGAUUUAUUGGGUUUAAAGGGUGCGUAGGCUGUGAGGUAAGUCAGCGGUGAAAUGCCCCCGCUCAACGGGGUGAAGUGCCAUUGAUACUGCCUGGCUGGAAUGCGGAUGCCGUGGGAGGAAUGUGUGGUGUAGCGGUGAAAUGCAUAGAUAUCACACAGAACACCGAUUGCGAAGGCAUCUCACGAAUCCGCGAUUGACGCUGAUGCACGAAAGCGUGGGUAUCAAACAGGAUUAGAUACUCUUGUAGUC
rnacentral:rRNA from 1 species